UACGGAAGGUCCAGGCGUUAUCCGGAUUUAUUGGGUUUAAAGGGAGCGUAGGCCGUUUGGUAAGCGUGUUGUGAAAUGUCGGGGCUCAACCUAGGCAUUGCAGCGCGAACUGCCAGACUUGAGUGCGCAGGAAGUAGGCGGAAUUCGUCGUGUAGCGGUGAAAUGCUUAGAUAUGACGAAGAACUCCGAUUGCGAAGGCAGCCUGCUGUAGCGCAACUGACGCUGAAGCUCGAAAGCGUGGGUAUCGAACAGG
rnacentral:rRNA from 1 species